rnacentral:rRNA from 1 species
GACGAACGCUGGCGGCGUGCUUAACACAUGCAAGUCGAACGGAAAGGCUCCAGCCUGCUGGAGUACUCGAGUGGCGAACGGGUGAGUAACACGUGGGUAAUCUGCCCUGCACUCUGGGAUAAGCCUGGGAAACUGGGUCUAAUACUGGAUAUGACCUUUCUCCUUAUGGGGUUUGGUGGAAAGUUUUUCGGUGUAGGAUGAGCCCGCGGCCUAUCAGCUUGUUGGUGGGGUGAUGGCCUACCAAGGCGACGACGGGUAGCCGGCCUGAGAGGGUGAUCGGCCACAUUGGGACUGAGAUACGGCCCAGACUCCUACGGGAGGCAGCAGUGGGGAAUAUUGCACAAUGGGCGGAAGCCUGAUGCAGCGACGCCGCGUGAGGGAUGACGGCCUUCGGGUUGUAAACCUCUUUCAGCAGGGACGAAGCGUAAGUGACGGUACCUGCAGAAGAAGCACCGGCUAACUAUGUG